AUUGAACGCUGGCGGCAGGCUUAACACAUGCAAGUCGAGCGAGCGGCGGACGGGUGAGUAAUGUCUGGGAAACUGCCUGAUGGAGGGGGAUAACUACUGGAAACGGUAGCUAAUACCGCAUACCAUCAGAUGUGCCCAGAUGGGAUUAGCUAGUAGGUGGGGUAAUGGCUCACCUAGGCGACGAUCCCUAGCUGGUCUGAGAGGAUGACAAGCAAAACUGGAAAUGAGACACGGUCCUGACUCAGACGAGAGGCAGCGGUGGGGAGUAUUGCACAAUGGGCGAAAGCCUUAUGCAGCCAUGCCGCGUGUGGGAAGAAGGCCAUCGGGUUGUAAAGCACUUUCAGCAAGGAGGCGUUACUCGCAGAAGAAGCACCGGCUAACUCCGUGCCAGCGGCCGCGGUAAUAC
rnacentral:rRNA from 1 species